rnacentral:rRNA from 1 species
CCUACGGGUGACAGCAGUGAGGAAUAUUGCACAAUGGGGGGAACCUUGAUGCAGCAACGCCGCGUGGGUGAAGAAGUACUCCGGUAUGUGAAGCCCUGUCAGCAGGGAAGAAAAUGACGGUACCUGACCCAGAAGCCCCGGCUAACUACGUGCCAGCAGCCGCGGUAAUACGGAGGGGGCAAGCGUUAUCCGGUUUUACUGGGUGAAAAGGGAGCGUAGACGGCAAGGCAAGUCUGGAGUGAAAGCCCGGGGCCCAACCUCGGGACUGCUUUGGAAACUGUGUUGCUGGAGUGCAGGAGGGGGAGGCGGAAUUCCUGGUGUAGCGGUGAAAUGCGUAGAGAUUAGGAGGAACACCGGUGGCGAAGGCGGCUUACUGGACUAUGACUGACGUUGAGGCUCGAAGGCGUGGGGAGCAAACAGGAUUAGAUACCCCUGUAGUC